rnacentral:rRNA from 1 species
GACAGAGGGUGCAAACGUUGUUCGGUAUUACUGGGCGUAAAGCGUGUGUAGGCUGCCCCGCAAGUCGGGUGUGAAAGCCCCGGGCUCAACCUGGGAACUGCAUCUGUGACUGCAUUGCUGGAGUCCGGGAGAGGUGAGUGGAACUCCGAGUGUAGAGGUGAAAUUCGUAGAUAUUCGGAAGAACACCAGUGGCGAAGGCGGCUCACUGGCCCGGUACUGACGCUGAUGUGCGAAAGCGUGGGGAGCAAACAGG